UGCCUAUGUACCGGUACACAAUCCCGUACCGGUACAACCAUCAACCCUGUACCGGUACAACCACCAACCCUGUACCGGUACACAGCCCAAUGAAGGCUACCCGAGAGCUAACCAAAAAUUCAAUUUUUUGGGUUUUGGUGCUAAGCUUUAAACCUCACUUCUCAGGAUUCGAACCAUAGGUCGGAACACUGUCAACGACCCACCAGAAAGUCUGGAAAAGCUCAUGACACAUCCAAUCACUCGAACCUCGCAAUUUGCAAAGGUCCAGUGUAUUACAGGUUCAAUUAAUCAUAUUCAA
rnacentral:lncRNA from 1 species